rnacentral:tRNA from 1 species
UAAGACAUGGCCGAGUGGUUAAGGCGAUUUAGUUGCAAUGCAUUUCCCCUGUGAGGGCGUAGGUUCGAAUCCUACUAUCUUCG